rnacentral:lncRNA from 1 species
GGAGAACAGCAGCCGAUUUGGAUUCCAGAGAGAUUAACUAAAGCGAUUUCUACAGACCAAAAAGAAGAUGAUUUGGCUCAAAUCCAUAACAGCUGAUAUCCAAAACUCCAGUUUGGCUAUCCUUACAUCUGAGACAGAACCAGGAUGCUUUUUUCAAUAUCUAUUUUAUUAUUGCCCUUUCCCACAUCAUGAAGUUCUAUUUUGUUUUUUGAGCUCAUACAGACCUAGGUUAAUGUUUUGCUGAUCAGUUCUAUUUUUUGACUAUAGAGUUUUUAAACAUUGCAAUGGAGAUUUCACCUGUAAAAAGUUAUAAGGCCUUUACUAUUAUGUUAUGUGUUGUAUGUAUUAUAUUAUGUGUGCACACUUGUGUUUUGUGUUAUAUGUUUGAAUGUACAUAUGUCCAUAUAUCAUAUAUGAUGAGCGCUCAUGAAAAAAUGGAUCCAAAUAUUUUUUUUUUAUUCACAUGAUUUAAAUGGUUUAAUUUAAAUUGGGUAAACAACUGUUGAGGAUUGUUUUA